CCGCGGUAAUACAGAGACUGCAAGCGUUAUUCGGAUUCACUGGGCGUAAAGGGUGCGCAGGCGGCCAAGUGUGUUAGGCGUGAAAGCCCGGGGCUUAACCCCGGAAUUGCACCUAAAACUACAUGGCUAGAGCAUUGGAGAGGGUAGCGGAAUUCACGGUGUAGCAGUGAAAUGCGUAGAUAUCGUGAGGAACACCAGAGGCGAAGGCGGCUACCUGGACAAUUGCUGACGCUCAGGCACGAAAGCGUGG
rnacentral:rRNA from 1 species